GACGAACGCUGGCGGCAGGCCUAACACAUGCAAGUCGAACGCCGUAGCAAUACGGAGUGGCAGACGGGUGAGUAACGCGUGGGAACAUACCCCUCGGUUCGGAAUAACUUAGGGAAACUUGAGCUAAUACCGGAUACGUCCGAGGUUUUAACCGACCUCGGAGAAAGAUUUAUCGCCGGAGGAUUGGCCCGCGUCUGAUUAGCUUGUUGGUGAGGUAAUGGCUCACCAAGGCGACGAUCAGUAGCUGGUCUGAGAGGAUGAUCAGCCACAUUGGGACUGAGACACGGCCCAAACUCCUACGGGAGGCAGCAGUGGGGAUAUUGGACAAUGGGCGAAAGCCUGAUCCAGCCAUGCCGCGUGAGUGAUGAAGGCCUUAGGGUUGUAAAGCUCUUUUACCCGGGAAGAUAAUGACGGUACCGGGAGAAUAAGCCCC
rnacentral:rRNA from 1 species